GCGUAUGCAAUCUGCCUUUCACAAAGGGAUAGCCCAGAGAAAUUUGGAUUAAUACCUUAUAGUAUAUUGAUGUGGCAUCACAUUAUUAUUAAAGAUUUAUCGGUGAAAGAUGAGCAUGCGUCCCAUUAGCUAGAUGGUAAGGUAACGGCUUACCAUGGCUACGAUGGGUAGGGGUCCUGAGAGGGAGAUCCCCCACACUGGUACUGAGACACGGACCAGACUCCUACGGGAGGCAGCAGUGAGGAAUAUUGGACAAUGGGCGCAAGCCUGAUCCAGCCAUGCCGCGUGCAGGAUGAAGCA
rnacentral:rRNA from 1 species